UACGUAGGGGGCGAGCGUUGUCCGGAUUUAUUGGGCGUAAAGAGCGUGUAGGCGGCCAGGUAGGUCUGCUGUGAAAACUCGAGGCUCAACUUCGAGACGCCGGUGGAAACCAUCAGACUAGAGUCCGGAAGAGGAGAGUGGAAUUCCUGGUGUAGCGGUGAAAUGCGCAGAUAUCAGGAAGAACACCCGUGGCUAAGGCGGCUCUCUAGUACGGUACUGACGCUGAGACGCGAAAGCGUGGGGAGCGAACAGG
rnacentral:rRNA from 1 species